UUUUUGUUUAGACAAUUUUGAAUAUAACUUUUAUUUAUUUAAGCAACUCAUAUUACUUUUUAUUAAUAUUUUUAUAUCUCUUUACAAUAAGCAACUUGUAUUAACAACCACCAAUAGAUCGAAGGAUCCAAUAACUAAAGGUUGAUAAUAUACUAUGAUAAUAUAUGUAUGAAUCUAAUAAGAGACACAAAUAACAUUUAUUUCAUUUUACUUUUAUUUAACUUUGAAUAUAAUUUGUGGAUCAAAUGUGUCAUCCCAUCCCGUCAAUCCAUUACUACAACCAUGCUCAUGACUGACUGGUUGCGACCACUCAGACACCUACAACAAAUCAAAUAAACCCUAAAAUCUCUAAUUACCAAAAAGAAAAAGAAACGAAAAGGUUACGAAGAAAAAAAUGGAAGAGAGAAGAGGUAGGAAAAUAAUAAUGUUCCCUUUACCGUUUGUAGGACACUUGAACCCAAUGAUCCAACUCGCCAGGAUAUUUCACCAUCGUGGCUUCUCCGUCACGAUCCUCCACACUUCCUUCAACUUUCCCGAUCCU
rnacentral:lncRNA from 1 species